rnacentral:lncRNA from 1 species
AAUUCGACACAGUACCUAAAUUUUAAACGUAUCUACUAGUGGGUCUGUCCCUAUGUUUUUAACAUUGUUUUAUUUUGUGACGUCUAUUAUUGUUAUUGUUCACUGCCAACUUUACAUGCAGGUCACGUAAUGAUCUUGAAAAAGGCAAGGAUAUUCCUGUCGAAACGUCGAUUAAAUGAUAUGACAUAACAUCAUAGCCAUCUCUUUUUCUUUGUGAACCUAAGCCCAAGAAACCCAAA